AGAAAAAUCCAAACGACCCAGCUGCACUUAUUUACCAUUUGGAGCGGGGCCAAGGUAUUGUAUAGGGUCCAAUUUCGGGAAAACGAUGGUGAAAGUUGGUUUGAUUUACGCUUUAAAAAAUUAUUCCUAUCGGGUAUCGCCAGAAAUGAAGUUUCCAUUGGAAUUCAAUAAAAAUCUCGGUUUAUUGACACCGCGUAACGAUAUUCUAUUGCAACGAGUAAACAUUUAAUAAAUAAUCGUGUACCUAGUCUAUGUUGACAAUUGAAUGAGUACAUAAAUUAAUCAUUUUUAGGUUUAAAACGUUCUAAUGUAAUAAAUAAAUGUAUGAAACGUU